rnacentral:rRNA from 1 species
GUUCUCGAUCAUACCUCGUUGAAAGCACCGCAUCCCGCCCCGAUCUGCGAAGUUAAGCAACGUUGGGCUGACGUCAGUACCAGAAUCGGAGACGGUCUGGGAACACGCAGUGUCGUAGACA